UAUUGAUUGGGUUUCUCUUGUCCUAUGGCUGAUUCAUCACAAAGCAGGUACAUUCGGGAUUGUGGGGAUUGUUUCCUGGUACAACUAUGUUCAGUUUCCAUUCGUAGCCUCUUUCUCCCGCCUUUCCGACAACAUUGCAACUCCAUUUUCCACGAGCAGAGCCAAAUUCCCACUCGGAAGGAGUGUCACCGUAGCAGCUUUAUAUUUGCAUUCUUCCAAUUGUGAAUAAUCUGGAUAGUAGAUGGUUCAUUAUUUUGUCGACCUGAGGUUGCCACUAGGUUUCUUUAAAUUUUUAUUAUUUCAACAUGCUAUAAAGUUUUUGAGCAAACAUUUUCAGAUAUGCUGAAUUUGAUAGACAUGGAUUUUAGGUUAUUUCUUCACUGGUUUUUCACUUUGGCAGGGACAUCCUCCUCUUGGACUGCACCUUCCGUCGCUAAUUUAGGGCUACCCUAAAUUUCAAGUUGUUUGAAAUAAACAUUUUCAUCAUCUUUAAGCUUGGCUUAAUUUUAUAUGUAAAUUAGCUUGUAGAUAUCAACUCGCUAAUUGUAAGCAUGAUGAAGAGUUGCAAACCAGGGAUUUUCCUCUGCUCAAAAUAGUUUUCAGGGCAUCUCUUCUAUUUUUCUUGGGUUGUAUUCUGAUGGGUCAGGGUUAUAGAUUGCUACAUUCAUUGAGUGCACGUGUUCUUCUGGUGCAUUUGAAUAUAAUACUAUCUUUUUUCAUAGCUGUCGCUUUACAGGGGCAGCAAGCAGGAUUACCUGCAAGGGUCCUGAUAUUGUAACUUUGGAGAAGACAGGUCCUGAAGAACACUGAUUUUCUGCUUCCAUGGUUAUCAAGCACCUAUAUAUGCCUCAAUAAAGGAAGGUUCUAAUGUCUGCACAGAUUCGACAUGAAGUAGUCAAGCUUAGCAUAACAUAAAAAAAUGGCGUCACUGUAUGUUGAUCCUUUCUACUGACAUUUGUUAUGUGCACUACCCUGUCUUAGCCAA